UAGCGGUAGGGGGCAAGCGUUGUCCGGAUUCAUUGGCGUAAAGCGCGUGUAGGCGGCCAGGUAGGUCUGGUGUGAAAACUCGAGGCUACAACCUCGAGGAGGUCAUCGGAAACCAUCUGGCUAGAGUCCGGAAGAGGAGAGUGGAAUUCCCGGUGUAGCGGUGAAAUGACGCAGAUAUCGGGAGGAACACCAAUGGCGAAGGCAGCUCGGCUGGGACGGUACGUGACGCUGAGACGCGAAAGCG
rnacentral:rRNA from 1 species